rnacentral:lncRNA from 1 species
CGCAUGGGAGGAUAAAUGUCAGCUGGGGAAGAGCACACACAGCAAGGAGUUCUUGAUUAUAAAAUUGCCAAACAGCCAUCUCCUUCUCCUGUUUCUUCUUCUGCUCCGCACCCUAUAACCCUGGCCUGUUCUACCUGUUUACUGCAAUCUGUGAUUGCGGCAUCUGUAGGAUGUCCCAGGAUGGAGCAGAGCAGUCAGUCAAGGCCUCAGCAAAGUGCCCAGUCCUAGCGAAGUCCAGCCCACAUCCCAGGCUACAGACACCAGAUGUCACUGGGUGGGGUAUGCCAGCAGCAAAUAAAAUGCUUUGGGAGUGAAGGAGAACAGGAGAGAGAAGUCUCUUAAACCCUCUCCUCAACUUGGCUCAUGAAGUGUGGGGAGCCUGCCAGCCUGUUCUCUUCCGCCACCAUGGACUGUACUGAGCAUACUACAUAACUAACUGAAAGUUACUUUCUAUAGUAAGGGUAUCACUAAUCUUUUCCAGAUCUUGAACACGUGACUCAGUGCCCAUCUAAUAAUGUUUCAUGCACAUCUAGUGUUUUUGAAUGUUCAAAAAUUCCAGAUAUAUUGUAAAAUGGGUCAACUGCAGAUGUGGGCAGGGCUGGCCUUACCAUCAUGCCAAGUUAGACAAUCACUCCAGGUGGCAGAUGCUGGAGAGCAGCAGCAACAGUUCCCUGGUUGUUCCUCCUAAGCACCCUCCUCAGGCCAUUCCCCCCUACUCCCCCACCCCCGUUGGGUGACAGAGAUGUUGUGCCUAGUGACCUGUUUCAGUAUCCUAAAUACAUCAGCUGAGGAUGCUGUCUCCUCCCCAGUAGGAUUCAGCUGCCACUCCAGUUAGUUUCCAUCUGUAUAUUGUCCUUUGCCUCUGGCAUUAAAAGGUCUUGGGCAAGCUAGGGUGGAGCUGAGAAGUUUAAAGAGAAGGCCAUGAGUUAAAGAAUGAGACAACAUUUAGUUCCAAGCCUCCUUUUGCUACAAGUCACACUUUCAAGUGUUAAACUACACAACCUCUGUUUUUCCCCAAUAACUCUCAAUGAAGCUAAUGUUUAGUAUGCUGAUUGAAGUGUCACAACAUCUUUUGGCAAUAAGCUGGGGAAAAGAAUAUUUUCCUUAGGACUUACAUGGCAACUGCUGCAAUUUCUUCAAAGGAUCUGUAAAAUUACUGUGCCAGCAAAGAUGCAAGUUGAGGCAAAUGGUACUAAUAUAAGUUUUUUUUUCCUUUCUAAGUUAAUUCUGAAUAUAGGAGCUGCUCUGCCUGUGCUUUACUCUGCAGAUUUUUAAUGUAGUAGUACCAGGUUGUUAGCAGCAGAUGUGAUUGCUCUUCCUUUUUAAUAAGGGUGGGAUUGCCAAGUAGAAGCUAUUGCUUCAUCUGCUGUCAUAACAUAUUGGUGAGUGUUUGCACAAUAUCUUACUAGAAGUGAGGUCUCUCUGAAAAUUGAUGCUUGUUUAACCAGGCAGCUGGAUGCGAUUUCAGACAAUGAUCUUGGCUGUUCUCAUAAAUACUGGUUAAAUCAGCUUUUGCGUUUCUGUAUAAAGUAAUUUGCAUAUGGAACCUACCUUGUUAGAUUUAAAUAUAAUUCCUUCUAGUGAUCUCCAACAUGGUCUCCUACAUGAACAGCCCUUAGAAAUGAAGUGAGCCACUGUAAAAAGAGAGAUCCUGGGAUUAGCUGUACAGAUGGCCUUACUCACAGAAUCCCCUGAGGCACCUGGAAAAAGUGGGGCUGCGGUAGGAUGGGGGCCCUGAGAAUAGAACCAUUAAGAGCUCAGAAGAAUUACAUAGGUAGUGAGUGGCAGACUGCCAUCUUUAAAAUGUAUUCCUCUGCAGCAGUAUAUUCUGGUGACAGGGAUACCUAAUGCUGCAAUAAAGUCUGUGAAUUCUCAGGGGUAGAAGCUGUUCAUGGUAAAAAGUUUUCCUCAAGAAACUUCUACAGAGUCAGAGACAGUGUGUAAUAAAUUAUGGUCAAGGAAGAGAAAAUUCUCUUGGGAUACAAGAAACUGGCAUGUAUCUUUGGGCAAAGAAAUAUUUCUUUGUGCUACUUUGCUCUGAAGCACAUUCAGUUGCUGUGGCAUUUUUCAUGCUGCUAUCAGGCAAAAAAUUCUUAAGGACAGCUGUCUAAAAAUAAGGAGUCAUAAUUCAGAUAUGGCUCUGGUGUUCAUGCCACAUGAUCAUAGAAUUUCUGAAGAAAUGAUUUAUUAAACUAACCAGACAUUUUAAAAAUUAAAAUUCUGGGAAAUUGCAUGUACAGAUAAGCAAAUACAUAAAUAACUAUAAAAUGAGACUGACAUACAAUUAUUUGUUUUAACAAAUUAUUAUACUUGUUCGGAAUGUUCUUGCCAGGUCACUGUUUCUUUAUUUAAGCUAUUAUCUCUUUAGUUGUUUAUGUUUAUUUUACUUUUUUGUUUAUUUUUGUUCCUGUUCGUUGGCUUGGGUGCAGGACUGUUGAAAUGUAUUGUUAUUGCAAUGUAUUAUGAUUGUUUUGCUAUUUUAUUAUUUUAUUGUAUUUUAAUCUAACCUUAUUUUUAAUCUUGUAAACUGUUCUGAGAGCCAAAUUGGCUAUGGAGGACAGUAUCUAAAAGCCUGUAUAGAUAACUAAAUAAAUAAUAAUCAGAUCUGCUGUCCUGAUAUCUAGUGAUCCAAAAUGGUUCUAAGAUCACCGUUAGUACAUACAUGGGUACAUGCAUAUUCUAGAACUUAGCUUCUGCCAAAGUGUUGUUCACUGUCUGGAACUUUGUAAAUAAGUAGAUCAGACUUAGCUCUGUACUGUAAAUAUAAUUCUGUAAUUAUUCUUCCCAACUUUUAAAAAAUUAAAUGCAUUGCUCAAAAAUAGGUUAGAGGUGCUUUUGGACUGCUCAAAAACUUGAGCAGUUUUGAGCAAUUGCUCUAUGCCUGCUUUUCCCACACAAAGGGGAAAAUGGAGGAUCCAUGCCUUUGCACCUUAAGUGGAAAAGAAGCUCAGGAGAGGGAGAUUUUAAGAAGUAAAAUAACAGAAAGAAAGGGAAUAAGCAGUCCCAUGCAGACCUUCUGCCCCUGAUCUCAGCUUCCUGCAGUGCAGCAAACAUACGUAACUCUGCAAAUCCACUGGAAAGAAUGAUAGCAUUGAUCGUAGAAUUUUGUAAGCUAUCUAGGGACCUUUAAGUAUUUGGCGGCAUAUAAAAGGAAGUAUGAAUAUAACAUAAAAAUACAGUUGGACGGGAUCUUGGAAAUAAUCUAGUCCUUUCAGAAGGGGAUGUCAAAAAUGUGUUUGUAUGACUUUGGCCUGCAGAUUCUACAGCUUUUCCAGAGACUCAUAGAUUCAAUGGAGUCACAGACCAUCUUUUUAAUUUUAUUGUUAAACCAGCCUGAGACUUCGGUAAUGGAACACUCUACAAAAGUUUUAAAUAAAUAAUAAAUAAUUUUGAAGAGAGUUUGUAUAAAUUUGCACUUG